AUGUGCUCAGACUGUUUUAGGUGCUGGGGACUCUAUACUGAAACGGGAGAGGCAAAAUCCCUGCCCUUACGGAAUUUACCAUCCAGGGGCAGAGCCAAUGAUCAGGUAACGAUGUCUUUGCGAUUUAAUUUGGGUUUUUUUUGGCCUCAACGCGGCAUGUGGGAUCUUAGUUCCUCCACCAGGGAUCAAACCCAUUCCCCCUGCGGUGGAAGUGCGGAGUCCUAACUACUGGACUGCCAGGGAAGUCCCACGAUGUCUUCGUGCUUCAGUUUUUCAAAGAACUUAUGCUUCAUUGCCUCAAACAGGCCAUUUAACGGAUUGUUUCUCAUCAAGGACUGAGGUGCUGCAUUGUUUUGUAAAUGUAGGUUACAUUUGGCAGUGGACGUUGCAACCCAUUUUUGAAAAUAAUGACAGUAGUUACCACUUACUGAGUGCUUUCUACAUGCCUGGUGCUGUACUGGGUACUUUAUAUCCAUUUAUUAUGUUUAAUCUCCACAACUGUGGAAUCGGCAUCACUAUCCCCAUUUAUUGAUGAAGAAACAGGCUGGGGACUGUGUACCUUGCCCAAGGUCACCUGGCUUAGAAAGUGCUGAGUGUCUGACAUGCUUGUCACCAUCAUCUCAUGCUGCUCAUGAAGGAUCUUGAGGGGAGAGUUUAGGGCCGUCUGCUAACCCACGAAGAACCAAUAGUGAACACCGAGCGGCCUUUAUUCCUUGAGUUACGUGCCUUUGGUAAAAAUCACUUUGAGCCGAGUUUCUGUGUGUGUGUCAAAGGGGGACAUGGCUGAUUUGUACUGUCCAGCUGACAAGCGUUUACUCGUCUCUCAAAGGUGCAUCAGUGGGCUUCCCUGGUGGCGCAGCAGUUGAGAGCCCGCCUGCCGAUGCAGGGGACACGGGUUCGUGCCCCGGUCCGGGAAGAUCCCACAUGCCGCGGAGCGGCUGGGCCCGUGAGCCAUGGCCGCGGAGCCUGUGCUCCGCGACGGGAGAGGCCACAACAGUGAGAGGCCCGCGUAAGGCAAAAAAAAAAAAAAAAAAAAAAAAAAAAAAAGUGAAUCAGUUGUCACAGGAUGGGAGGCAGGAAAUGCCUCUGCAUUCCAAGUGACCUCCUGGCUAAAGUCGAGUUAGUCAUGCCCUCUUCCAGCCUCAUGGAGCCCUUGUUCAGGCCCGGAAGAGCAGUUGGCAUGAGCCCUGCACUUGUGGUGCAAGGGACCCGCCCUUGUAAGGACAGCACUGUUUUGUACAGUUAUUUCUGUGUCUGCAGAACCUAGCGUGCAGAUAUGGUACAUGUCUGUGAUUCGAAUGACAGGACAAGGGCCCUGCUCAGCCACCAAAGCUGUGGCCAGAGCACCUGAUCUCUUGAUAUAAGACCCAGUGGGCAGAGCUGUGUCAUAGACAGGAAUGGGAUGGGGUGGGAACUGGGUCUCUGAGUUCAGA
rnacentral:lncRNA from 1 species